ACAUGCAAGUCGAGCGGACAGAAGGGAGCUUGCUCCCGGAUGUUAGCGGCGGACGGGUGAGUAACACGUGGGUAACCUGCCUGUAAGACUGGGAUAACUCCGGGAAACCGGAGCUAAUACCGGAUAGUUCCUUGAACCGCAUGGUUCAAGGAUGAAAGACGGUUUCGGCUGUCACUUACAGAUGGACCCGCGGCGCAUUAGCUAGUUGGUGAGGUAACGGCUCACCAAGGCGACGAUGCGUAGCCGACCUGAGAGGGUGAUCGGCCACACUGGGACUGAGACACGGCCCAGACUCCUACGGGAGGCAGCAGUAGGGAAUCUUCCGCAAUGGACGAAAGUCUGACGGAGCAACGCCGCGUGAGUGAUGAAGGUUUUCGGAUCGUAAAGCUCUGUUGUUAGGGAAGAACAAGUGCAAGAGUAACUGCUUGCACCUUGACGGUACCUAACCAGAAAGCCACGGCUAACUACGUGCCAGCAGCCGCGGUAAUACGUAGGUGGCAAGCGUUGUCCGGAAUUAUUGGGCGUAAAGGGCUCGCAGGCGGUUUCUUAAGUCUGAUGUGAAAGCCCCCGGCUCAACCGGGGAGGGUCAUUGGAAACUGGGAAACUUGAGUGCAGAAGAGGAGAGUGGAAUUCCACGUGUAGCGGUGAAAUGCGUAGAGAUGUGGAGGAACACCAGUGGCGAAGGCGACUCUCUGGUCUGUAACUGACGCUGAGGAGCGAAAGCGUGGGGAGCGAACAGGAUUAGAUACCCUGGUAGUCCACGCCGUAAACGAUGAGUGCUAAGUGUUAGGGGGUUUCCGCCCCUUAGUGCUGCAGCUAACGCAUUAAGCACUCCGCCUGGGGAGUACGGUCGCAAGACUGAAACUCAAAGGAAUUGACGGGGGCCCGCACAAGCGGUGGAGCAUGUGGUUUAAUUCGAAGCAACGCGAAGAACCUUACCAGGUCUUGACAUCCUCUGACAACCCUAGAGAUAGGGCUUUCCCUUCGGGGACAGAGUGACAGGUGGUGCAUGGUUGUCGUCAGCUCGUGUCGUGAGAUGUUGGGUUAAGUCCCGCAACGAGCGCAACCCUUGAUCUUAGUUGCCAGCAUUCAGUUGGGCACUCUAAAGGUGACUGCCGGUGACAAACCGGA
rnacentral:rRNA from 1 species